rnacentral:rRNA from 1 species
GAUGAACGCUGGCGGCGUGCCUAAUACAUGCAAGUCGAGCGAACGGACGAGAAGCUUGCUUCUCUGAUGUUAGCGGCGGACGGGUGAGUAACACGUGGAUAACCUACCUAUAAGACUGGGAUAACUUCGGGAAACCGGAGCUAAUACCGGAUAAUAUUUUGAACCGCAUGGUUCAAAAGUGAAAGACGGUCUUGCUGUCACUUAUAGAUGGAUCCGCGCUGCAUUAGCUAGUUGGUAAGGUAACGGCUUACCAAGGCAACGAUGCAUAGCCGACCUGAGAGGGGGAUCGGCCACACUGGAGCUGAGACACGGUCCAGACUCCUACGGGAGGCAGCAGUAGGGAAUCUUCCGCAAUGGGCGAAAGCCUGACGGAGCAACGCAGCGUGAGUGAUGAAGGGCUUCGGAUCGUAAAACGCUGUUAUUAGGGAAGAACAUAUGUGUAAGUAACUGUGCACAUCUUGACGGUACCUAAUCAGAAAGCCACGGCUAACUACGU